AUCUAUAUACAGCAUGUGUAAAUGAGGCAGGAUGAGAGAGGUAAUAAAUACAGUAGAUCUAUAUACAGCAUGUGUAAAUGAGGCAGGAUGAGAGAGGUAAUAAAUACAGUAGAUCUAUAUACAGCAUGUGUAAAUGAGGCAGGAUGAGAGAGGUAAUAAAUACAGUAGAUCUAUAUACAGCAUGUGUAAAUGAGGCAGGAUAAGAGAGGUAAUAAAUACAGUAGAUCUAUAUACAGCAUGUGUAAAUGAGGCAGGAUGAGAGAGGUAAUAAAUACAGUAGAUCUAUAUACAGCAUGUGUAAAUGAGGCAGGAUGAGAGAGGUAAUAAAUACAGUAGAUCUAUAUACAGCAUGUGUAAAUGAGGCAGGAUAAGAGAGGUAAUAAAUACAGUAGAUCUAUAUACAGCAUGUGUAAAUGAGGCAGGAUAAGAGAGGUAAUAAAUACAGUAGAUCUAUAUACAGCAUGUGUAAAUGAGGCAGGAUGAGAGAGGUAAUAAAUACAGUAGAUCUAUAUACAGCAUGUGUAAAUGAGGCAGGAUGAGAGAGGUAAUAAAUACAGUAGAUCUAUAUACAGCAUGUGUAAAUGAGGCAGGAUGAGAGAGGUAAUAAAUACAGUAGAUCUAUAUACAGCAUGUGUAAAUGAGGCAGGAUGAGAGAGGUAAUAAAUACAGUAGAUCUAUAUACAGCAUGUGUAAAUGAGGCAGGAUGAGAGAGGUAAUAAAUACAGUAGAUCUAUAUACAGCAUGUGUAAAUGAGGCAGGAUGAGAGAGGUAAUAAAUACAGUAGAUCUAUAUACAGCAUGUGUAAAUGAGGCAGGAUGAGAGAGGUAAUAAAUACAGUAGAUCUAUAUACAGCAUGUGUAAAUGAGGCAGGAUGAGAGAGGUAAUAAAUACAGUAGAUCUAUAUACAGCAUGUGUAAAUGAGGCAGGAUGAGAGAGGUAAUAAAUACAGUAGAUCUAUAUACAGCAUGUGUAAAUGAGGCAGGAUGAGAGAGGUAAUAAAUACUGUACAUACCUUUAUUUUAUGUCCUCGGCUACUUGGCUAAAAAGCUUGGUUCGCAACGUUCGCUAGUUAACUAUUAAACAUUAGCCGUCUACAUCUAGCUACAUAUUGAACUUCCAUCCUCUCAGG